GGCUAGGUUAAUCAAUGAGAGAUCUGCAAGUCUCUGACUCCCCAGAUGUAGUGAAAGAACCUAGUGGGGAAACCCCCACUCAAUUCCCGAUUCAGAGUGCACCCAAGAAUCACGAACAGAACA
rnacentral:pre_miRNA from 7 species